AGGUGGAGAGAGCCGGCUGGAUCCCUCCAAGAAGACAACAGGUUCUUCUUGAGAGAUCUGCCCCCAGCGGCUUGCGGGAAUCCAAGCGCGCCCGCCCCGGCUUUUUCCAAAGCUUCGGCAUUUCUCACUUGGCUCCGAAGCGAAGGAAACAAAACAGCCAGAAUAACACCACCAUCUGAUGAUGACCAGUUGAAUUUCCAGCUUAAUCUUGGGCUGAAAAUCGUAAACUAUGUCGCGGUACCUGCGCCAGAGCAGCAGAAGCAGGAGGCUGCACCGCAGUAGGCGAUUAAAACAAAGGAGGAGAAUGGGUAGAAGACAGCGGAGGAUCCAUAAGAAAGGUAUACGGCAGUCUCAUUACCGGAGGAGCUCCUUCUCAGCCUAGCCCUCUUCAGCUCCUGAAAUAGGACAACUUCAGUCCCCAAAAGCAACAUGUCGAGAAACCAGGAUUGCGAUAUCUGAUCCACCAAGUUUCUGCAACCAUUCA